CGGAGCUUACCAGAACCACACCUCACACUGCUCACGCUGUCCCCACGGGUUUCUCCAGUCUCCAGCUCUCCGCUCGUCUGCGUUUUUAGCUUUUCCCUCCACGCCUCUCUACCUUUUUGCACCUCCCGCACGGCCUCUGCCUCUUUUUGUUUGUCCCCUUCCUAUAAUCUGUCUCCCUUCCCUGUUCGUCCAAUCUAUCUGUUAGACUCCGUUCUCUUCCUCUUUUCCUCCCCGUUUCUCCUUCGCUCUUCGUUUCUGCCUCUGUCUCCCCACAGCUUCUUGAUCUCCGGCCGCCGCGACUUCUGCCUCCCCAGCUGCGCUCACCACAUGCAUCACACUCCAUCACCGUGUUUUUCAGGAAUGUGAUCUCCUUGACCUGCCGCGCCGGGGAUAAGAGGUGUAAUUAAUAGGGCUCCAUCCCUCUCCUUCUACUCCGGGUCUCCCCUCUCCUCCCCCCGGACCCACUCCCCUCGGACUCCCUACCCUUCCAGCACCUCUCCUCCUUCCCUGAGACUCCCUUUCCCCCCUCUCCCACCUCGCGGACCCCUACCCUCUCCUGCGGAACCCACUAUCCCUGGAGCCCCCUUUCCCAGUUCCUUUUCCACAAUCCUCUCCUCGAUCUUGGUACCCAGGAUUCUCUCCACCUCCACAAGGGCCCUCUUCUCCCGUCCCCUUCCCCCACUGUCCCCUACCUUACAGGCCCCUCUCCCCUUCCAGACCUCUCUCUCCUCCCUCGCACUGCUGUACGGCCCACCCUGGCUCGCACCUGUUGCCGCAGCAGCUCCCGCACUUCCCGCAGCGCCGCGUUUGUCUCCUGCAGUUCGUGUAGCAUCUGCGGGCCCAGGAAAGGUGGCGGUCCCAGCUCCAGCCCAGGCCUCCCUGGAAGGCUGCCCAUGGGGGCAGCUCCAGGCCUGGCUGAAACUCUUCCCUAUUCUGCUGGCCUCCUGACCUCCUCCAGGGAACCAGGCAACCUCGAACAUCACAAGGAAACAGGCUUGGCUUGAAACAGCCGCUGCUGCCAGCCUGUCACUUCCAAAUGGCUGGCAGAUGGCAGAGGAGAAGCCCAUAUAGGAGGGGCCUCCUCACUCCAUCACUGGUUCCAAAGCUGCUCCCAGCCCAGCUUCUUACCUGAAGGGUUGAAAUGAGGAAAUGCAGAAUCACAGGAAUCAUCAAACUCUGGGUAGCGACCAUGACCCGGAGCUGGGAGAGGAGGCGGGGGUAGGGUGGGGGCAGGGAGCAAACAGAAGCCCAGAGAAGCAAGACGUGUGCUCAGGGCCACAUUGUAGAUGAGAGGCAGAUCUGAUUCCAAUCUCCUGGUUUUGUCCCUUUUUAAAAAAUUAUGUUUUAUUUUAGUAAAAACACAUAACAUAAAAUUUAUCAUCUUAAUAAUUAAGUAUGCCAUUUAGUAGCAUUAAAUAUGUUCACAUUCCAUCUCCAGAACUCUUCAUUGAAAAACUAAAACUUUGUCCAUAUUAAACAACCCCUUACCCACCUCCCUCCGUCUUCUCAAUCCACACUUGAACUGUUUCCUCUUAGCGACUGGAAUCAGAAGACCCGAAAGUGAUUCAACCCUGAUUUUAAACAGCCAACUUGCCCCUCUGGACUGGAAUAUUUGGGACCGCCUGGAUCUUAUCCCUUGUGCUCCAAGCUGGGUUGUGGAUGGUCCAACAAGGGGACCUUGUCAUAGGAAUAAUGAUGAUCCUUGAGUCAGAGACUCAAAGCCGAAGCUGUCCCCACCAGGCCUGGCCAGCGAGGCCACACAGAGGUCUGACCCCCUGGAUGCCUGGCUGCUGGGCCGCCCCAAACCACAGGGUCAUGGGGAUGCAUCCAACUGCACAUCUGGACUUUUCGACUUGGUCCUGGCUUCCAGUUGGAGCAAGAGGGCCUGGGAUGGGGAAAAUGUGGGCCCCACCUACACGCACAAAGAUUGGGGGUUAAGGGGUUGGCACAUACCCCGUGCCUGUCUCUCCCCGUAAGACCCGUCCAGGCCCAGACGUCAAAGGCCUCUCCUUGCCCACAAGGCCCACAGUUCCAUCUGGAGAGGGCCCAGCCUGGCCUAGACACGUGUGCCCAACCAGACUGGAGCUCAGGCCAAGGCGGGGCUGUUGGUCCCCAACGUCACCUCUCUAAGGCAUUCUGUCUUAGGCAACUGCCCCACCAUCCACUCAGGGCUGGGCCUGAGACCUGGCAAGUGCCUGAGACUCCUCCCUGCCCCCCAUAUCCAGUACGUCAGCAGCUUUUGCUCUCUCAGCCUCCAAAACAUGCAAGUCCAAACACUCCUCCCUUCUGUGCAGCCCUGCCCUGCCAGCUCCUGCCUAGAUCCUGCCCCAGCCUCUUCCCCGCGGCAGCCAUAGGGGAGGUCUCAAAAUCAUAAAUCAGAUUGUUUUUAUCUCCAGCUAACACACCCUCAAUGGCUCCCUAUUACUUCCAGAAUAAAACCUAUCUCCUCCCUGUGGCCUGCAAGGCCCCACAUGAUCUGACCUUAGCCUGUUCCCCGACCUGUCUCCUCCUCCUUUGCUCACUGUGCUCCAGUCACACCAGUCUCCUCGCUAUUCCUCCAACAGCCAAACCCUUUUCCUACCUCAGGGCCUUUGCAUGAACCAUCCUUCUGUCCGGAAUGCUCAUCCUCCAUAUUUACAUGAUACUUUCCUGUUCUUUGGGUCUCAGCCUAAAGAUCAUUGCCUCAGGAGGGCCCUCCAACCCCUGAGCAAAAAUACCUCCACCGAACUUUCUUCCAAACACACUCUUCACUCUUUGAAAUUAUAUUCUUUGUAUUUUCAUAUAAGUACAAAUUGUAUUUUAGCCCCAAUGCUUACCAUCAUGCCCAGCAUAUACUAGGUGGAGUUGUGUCUUCUUGGGGAUGAAGGGACAUACCAGCCCAAUGCCAAAAUCUGAGAAACAUCUAUCCCUCUGAGACCCCCCUGAGUGCCCCAGCAACACCCCAGGAUUUAUAACCCAGAGCUUUGCUGUCGAUACAUGCUAGGGUGGUUGGAACUGGGGGGGAGGGGCUCACAGGCAACUAUGGGUGCUCAGGGUUCGGGGAGCAGCAUGGGCGAAAGCCUGGAGGUGAUGGAGAACAAGGCAGCAUUCCUGGAACUGGGUGUGGUGGGGCCCAGCUCAUGUAGGGUGAGGGGAGACAGGCACUGGAGUCUGACUCCAUCCUGGGACGAUGGGGAGCCAUGUGAGCAGAGGGCGCAUCAGACCUGUAUCCCAUCACCCUGUGCCAGGCACUGGGAGGUUUCCUCCCCAGACCGCAGCAGCCUGUGGAUUCAACACGCUUAUGCUGGCUAGGAACAUCUCGAAGCAGCUUUAUACAAAUUUCUGUGGAGUGGACCGCGAGGCCACCCUCCAUCCCUGCCACCACAGGGCUCAGGGAGGUCCAUCGUCUGUAGGAGGCUCCCAGAUCCAUAUAACAUGCUGACAGCCACCUGGCCCUCCUGGGGCCCCUCGGUCUCCCUCAGAACAUCCAGGUCACCCCAAGACCCUGGGCCUGGCCACCCCGUCCUGGUCCUUGGUGGAUGCCAAGACCUCUCUCCUUAUUCCCCUGGAAUUUUCCUUACUGGUCCUGCCAAUGUCUCCAGGAACAUAUAAAGGAAAAUGUUUCCUGUCCAAGCAGGGCUGUUUUAUGGCUCUCGGGGGCCGGGAGUCUCACUGCAGAGUAGAAAGGCCUCGACAUAUGGCUGUUCCUCCUGUAGAGCCACUCGGACCUGGCCCACCCUCCUAGGAGUCUCAAGUUCUGCAGGGACUUUCUAGCUAAUCAAAGUCCCCUCGACCCCAUCCCCAGACUGGGGAGAAAUCCCCUGGAAACAUAGAUGCUUGGGCUAGAGCACAAAGCUGAUGCAUUUCCCAUCAUUUAUUCACUCAACAAACACUUGCUGCGCUCCCACCAUGAGCAGGUUUCUGUGUCAGCUGCUGGAGACACAGUGAGAUCGAGUGGGAUCCAUCAUGCCCUUGGAUGGGAUCAGGAUCGGGUGGGUGGGGGAUCCACCUUAUCCCCAUGUCACAGGGCUGAAAACGGAGGCCGGGGAAUAUGGCAGCCUGCCCGAGAGCGUGCAGGGACAGGCAGAACGGUUCCAAAGCAGGUUUUCUUUUUUCUAACAGAUCGGAAAUUCACAUAAUGUAUAAUUCACCGUUUUACAAUGAACAAUUCAGUGGCAUUUAGUACAUUCACAAUGUUGUGCAACCAGCACCUCUAUCUAGUUCCGGAACAUUUCCAUCACCUCAAAAGGAGACCCCGUCCCCAUUAACAGUAACUCUCCAUCCCCCAGCCCCUGACAGCCACCAGUCUGCUUUCUGUCUCUAUGGAUUUGCCUGUUCUGGACAUUUCAUA